UACGUAGGGACCAAGCGUUGUUCGGAUUUACUGGGCGUAAAGGGCGCGUAGGCGGCGUGUCAAGUCAAUUGUGAAAUCUCCGAGCUUAACUCGGAAAGGUCAACUGAUACUGUGCGACUAGAGUGUGGAAGGGGCAACUGGAAUUCUUGGUGUAGCGGUGAAAUGCGUAGAUAUCAAGAGGAACACCUGCGGCGAAGGCGGGUUGCUGGGCCGACACUGACGCUGAGGUGCGAAAGCGUGGGGAGCGAACAGG
rnacentral:rRNA from 1 species